rnacentral:rRNA from 1 species
AUGACCGCUGCAAUCUUUGGCACACGCAUUGGGCACUUAGGAAAUGAUGUGCGGAAGAAACUGAAGGCUACCUACACCUUAGUGGAACAAUUAUAUACCGGAGCCCAGCGGAUCAUCACCACAGCCUCUCAUAACAACCCGGCACCUUCUUUAAUCCAGGACACUCUUAACAGGUUGUCGAUGCUUCCAGCCCGGAUGGAGGAGCUGAAGAAAUCUGCUGCUCGAACCGGAGCUAUUAACGCUUUGAUCCGGGCAAAGGCAUGGGUGCCAGAUUUCGACCCUGUGGAAGCAUCUCAAGGCUAUCCCAGCCUGAAGGAAGAUGGCUCUGAAUUUGACGAAGAGGAUUUAAGGGCAAUAAACCGUGCAGUGCGCCCUCUGGCUUGUCAGCUAGCUGAAGAGGCAGACUUGACGCAUUAUCAAGCACAAUACAAUGACCAAAACAAGCGAGUGCCUGCCCCAACUCUUGAAGCGGAGAAUCUGAUCCCUCCAAUCCGUAAGCACACUUACGCUCCUGAUAUUGAACCGUCUUCCCUAAUCCAUGAAGAGGCUGUUUUCCAAGCUUUAAUGGGAAUCGACUGGACCCCUGUUGAUUUCCAGCCAAUGGGUAGAGACGAGGAAGCUGAAGUGGCGGAUGAUGAGGAGCAGGCUUGA